rnacentral:sRNA from 1 species
UGCGGAGCAAAAGAGCUUCUGGCUCUCUGAAUGGCAUGUCCAUAUUGUUGUUUUUUUGAUACAGGGUAUUAUCUUGAGUACUGGUACAGUUAAGUGGUUCGACGCGGCGAAAGGUUUUGGUUUCAUCGCUCCAGAAGAUGGCGGUAAGGACGUUUUCGUUCAUCACACCGCAAUCACCGGCGACGGUUACAAAACUCUCGACGAAGGUCAGAAAGUGAGCUUCGACAUCGAGCAGGGCCAAAAAGGUCCAGCGGCAGUCAACGUAUCUGCUAUGUAAACUCUGUCAACUGACAUUGUUUGACGAGAAAGCCUCGCUACAUGCGGGGCUUUCUUGU